GAUGAACGCUAGCUACAGGCUUAACACAUGCAAGUCGAGGGGAAACGAUAGAGAAAGCUUGCUUUUUCUAGGCGUCGACCGGCGCACGGGUGAGUAACGCGUAUCCAACCUGCCCAUCACUUGGGGAUAACCUUGCGAAAGUACGACUAAUACCCAAUGACGUCUCUAGAAGACAUCUGAAAGGGAUUAAAGAUUUAUCGGUGCUGGAUGGGGAUGCGUCUGAUUAGCUUGUUGGCGAGGUAACGGCCCACCAAGGCGACGAUAAGUAGGGGUUCUGAGAGGAAGGUCCCCCACAUUGGAACUGAGACACGGUCCAAACUCCUACGGGAGGCAGCAGUGAGGAAUAUUGGUCAAUGGACGAGAGUCUGAACCAGCCAAGUAGCGUGCAGGAUGACGGCCCUAUGGGUUGUAAACUGCUUUUAUAAGGGAAUAAAGUGAGAGUCGUGACUCUUUUUGCAUGUACCUUAUGAAUAAGGACCGGCUAAUUCCGUGCCAGCAGCCGCGGUAA
rnacentral:rRNA from 1 species